rnacentral:rRNA from 1 species
UACGAAGGGGGCUAGCGUUGUUCGGAAUUACUGGGCGUAAAGCGCGUGUAGGCGGGUCUUUAAGUCAGAGGUGAAAUCCCAAGGCUCAACCUUGGAACUGCCUUUGAUACUGGGCAGCUUGAGUUCGGGAGAGGUGAGUGGAACUGCGAGUGUAGAGGUGAAAUUCGUAGAUAUUCGCAAGAACACCAGUGGCGAAGGCGGCUCACUGGCCCGAUACUGACGCUGAGGUGCGAAAGCGUGGGGAGCAAACAGG